rnacentral:rRNA from 1 species
UACGUAGGCAGCGAGCGUUUGUUCGGAAUUACUGGGCGUAAAGAGUGUGUAGGCGGUGCUCUAAGUUCGGUGUGAAAUCUCCUGCUUAACUGGGAGGGUGCGCCGGAAACUGGGGUGCUCGAGCGUGGGAGAGGAAAGCGGAAUUCCUGGUGUAGCGGUGAAAUGCGUAGAUAUCAGGAGGAACACCUGUGGUGUAGACAGCUUUCUGGACCAUUGCUGACGCUGAGACACGAAAGCGUGGGUAGCAAACAGG